CACAAACUGUAGUGUUCUGAAAUGCUACGCAAAACAUUUUAUUUUUAAGGUGAUGCUGGAAAGUGCAAUUUUAAAAUGAGGAAAAAAAGGUCUCUACUGUGUUUCUACUGGCAUUAAGGGUUGACGAUAUUGCCAUAUAUUCUUGUCAUGUUUUCUGGGUUUAUGGGGGUUUGGGUUUGGUUUGUUUGUUUGUUUGUUUGUUUUAAUAAGUCUGUUCUUAAGCCAACAUGGAAAAGACUCCCCACACCCAGAGUCCCAACACUGGAAAGCUCUGACCUGCCCUCAGUACCCUGGGCUCACCCUGUGUCUCUACUGUUAUCUGCCCCGCCCCACCCUCAAGGAGGGAUUCUGCCUCCUUCCCUGGCUCCCGGGCAGCUCUGAGGUUUGGCAUAUCUAAGAAAAGUGGAUAAUCGAAUGGAGAGGACUACUGAUGCCUUUUAUGCUUCUUCCUGGGAUUGUGUUGGGGUCUUUUUAUAUUUAAUUUUGGAUUGUCUGGGGAUGUAUUUUCUUCUCCAUGUGUUUUCAGUAGCAGAAUGCACCCGAGGGCAAGAUUUUACCUCGUUUGCCUAAGGCAUCUUUGCAUAGCUAUUUGUUCAGUACGGAACUUCAACUUUCUAAUCCUUUGUUUUUUUGGCGUGUUUUUUUUUUUUUUAAGUCUGAGUUUUUAGAGACCAAGAAUGUAUGUGACUAUAGACAAGACCUUCAAGACUUGUCAACAGGAAGUUUAGCUUCUCGCUGCCUUUCUGCGUUUCCUACAGGAUGCCUGUUGUCAUCAGGGAUGUUAGAAGCACUGUGUGUGUUUAACAGGGUUUCUCUCAGCCGCCCUGCGUUUGGUAGGCGAACAGGGGGCAUACCCAUCCAAGAGGAGGACCUGUAGGUUAAGGGUAGUUUGUAAAUAACUUCUGAUGCUUGCUCAUACACACCUUCUGUGUUGCCAAAGCUCGUGGCUUGUAGUGUAAUGCGAAACGCAGCCAUUUUAUUUCAAUGUUAUUAAAAGUGUUUGCUUUUUUGUGGGGGGGGGAGUAAAUGCACAGAGGCAGGGUUAGGGUUUUGUGCCUGUUUUAAGGCUUUUAUUUGGCAGUGAAUGUAAAAUACAGUGAAAUGAUAAUAUUGUCAUCUCUUUUAUGAAUUACAUCUUUUUAAAAGGCUUGGUCCAGGGUGUGAAGUGAGCGAUAAGGUAACAGAGGCAUGGUUGUAUUUUAUGGCAUAACAGAGUCCAUCAGAUUUUUCUUCCCUCCAGAGUUUUGCUAAUAGGCUUAACUCUUAUUUCUGGAUUAAUAGUAGGAUCAUGCCCUUAGCAAAUAAUUUUCUGUUUUUAAAUUAAGAGAUUCCCAAAUGUCUUUUCCCCCCCUUAUCUUGAUGGGAUGGAUUUUAUAUAUAAGAAAUAUUUAUUUAGCUAUUCUGUAAAAUUAUCUAGUGCCUGCUAAGGCCUUUGAGCAUCCCUCCAUCCUGUUGCGUGGCAUAAAGCAGCAGCUGUACGGUGUUCUGGGGGCUCACUCAGAAGCUGCACCCACUCGGGCCCGUGGGGAUGAGGGACCUUAUCAAAGGUAUCAGGUUCUCAUCCCUUGACUUGUGUGAGGAAAAAAGUGCUUUCCUUCCUGCCACCACGGACUGACAUGGAAGUCUUCAGAUGGAACGCUGACCCCAUGUUCUUACUGUAUUUUUCAAGUGCCUGGAAAAAAAUAUUUUCAAAAACAAUACUAGUAAUAAUAAAAGGAAAAAAUAUGCACUAACUUAACAUGGCAACUACCUUAACAACAGGCAUUGGUGGCAGCCAGUUAAGCACCAGUGGCCCUGCUGUCUGUGAUCUUACCUGUUCCUCUUGUUUCUCAACCAUUUCACACGUACACUACUGAGGUAAGUUUAUAACUUGAAAUGUGAACUUUUUUUUUUUUUAGGAAUAAGAACAAACUAAUAUAAAUGUUUUUAAACGUUUUAGAGUUUGGGUUUUAGACAUGCUACUAGUUUAGUUUUUAGCUUCAUAUUUGAAAAGCUUUUUAGAUCUCGCUUCAUUUACAUACAGUGCAUUCUUAAAAUGUAUGUGGUAAAUAAAGCUUUCUUGAAAGC
rnacentral:lncRNA from 1 species